rnacentral:rRNA from 1 species
CCUACGGGUGGCAGCCGUGAGGAAUAUUGGUCAAUGGGCGCGAGCCUGAACCAGCCAAGUAGCGUGAAGGAUGACUGCCCUACGGGUUGUACACUUCUUUUAUAAAGGAAUAAAGUGAUGCACGUGUGCCUUUUUGUAUGUACUUUCUGAAUAAGGAUCGGCUAACUCCGUUCCAUCAGCCGCGGUAAUACGGAGGAUCCGAUCGUUAUCCGGAUUUUUUGGGUUUAAAGGGAGCGUAGAUGGGUUGUUAAGUCAGUUGUGAAAGUUUGCGGCUCAACCGUAAAAUUGCAAUUGAUACUGGGAGUCUUGAGUACAGUUGAGGUAGGCGGAAUUCGUGGUGUAGCGGUGAAAUGCUUAGAUAUCACGAAGAACUCCGAUUGCGAAGGCAGCUUACUAAACUGCCACUGACAUUGAUGCUCGAAAGUGUGGGUAUCAAACAGGAUUAGAUACCCUUGUAGUC